rnacentral:rRNA from 1 species
ACGUAGGGCGCGAGCGUUGUCCGGAAUUAUUGGGCGUAAAGAGCUUGUAGGCGGUUUGUCGCGUCUGCUGUGAAAGGCCGGGGCUUAACCCCGUGUAUUGCAGUGGGUACGGGCAGACUAGAGUGCAGUAGGGGAGACUGGAAUUCCUGGUGUAGCGGUGGAAUGCGCAGAUAUCAGGAGGAACACCGAUGGCGAAGGCAGGUCUCUGGGCUGUAACUGACGCUGAGAAGCGAAAGCAUGGGGAGCGAACAG